UACGGAGGAUGCAAGCGUUAUCCGGAAUGAUUGGGCGUAAAGCGUCCGCAGGUGGCUAUGUAAGUCUGCUGUUAAAGAGUGAGGCUCAACCUCAUAAGAGCAGUGGAAACUACAUGGCUAGAGUGCGUUCGGGGCAGAGGGAAUUCCUGGUGUAGCGGUGAAAUGCGCAGAUAUCAGGAGGAACACCGAUGGCGAAGGCAGGUCUCUGGGCUGACACUGACGCUCAUGCACGAAAGCGUGGGGAGCAAACAGG
rnacentral:rRNA from 1 species